rnacentral:rRNA from 1 species
CCUACGGGUGGCAGCAGUGGGGAAUAUUGCACAAUGGGCGCAAGCCUGAUGCAGCCAUGCCGCGUGUGUGAAGAAGGCCUUCGGGUUGUAAAGCACUUUCAGCGGGGAGGAAGGCGGUGAGGUUAAUAACCUCAUCGAUUGACGUUACCCGCAGAAGAAGCACCGGCUAACUCCGUGCCAGCAGCCGCGGUAAUACGGAGGGUGCAAGCGUUAAUCGGAAUUACUGGGCGUAAAGCGCACGCAGGCGGUCUGUCAAGUCGGAUGUGAAAUCCCCGGGCUCAACCUGGGAACUGCAUUCGAAACUGGCAGGCUAGAGUCUUGUAGAGGGGGGUAGAAUUCUAGGUGUAGCGGUGAAAUGCGUAGAGAUCUGGAGGAAUACCGGUGGCGAAGGCGGCCCCCUGGACAAAGACUGACGCUCAGGUGCGAAAGCGUGGGGAGCAAACAGGAUUAGAUACCCGUGUAGUC